rnacentral:lncRNA from 1 species
UUUUUUUUUUUUUCUUUUUUUCUAGUUCCCUCUGAGUGAUUCAUGGUGAUUUAUUGUAAGUUGUCAGCGGCUGGCCACAAAUCAAAUCCAGCAGGAUCCGGAGACCAGGACAGACUCCCGAGGGGUCAGGAGAAGGAGAGUGACCACACGAGAGCUGCAAAGCCAGGGCCUCCUGCAGAGUCACAAUCCCACCACUAUACAACAGGUACUGGGAAAAUCGAGACACCACGCACACAAUACCUAAUACAAACAACUUUCACAUACAUACAGGAGAAACUUACUGACUGCAAUGCUUAAUUUGUUAGAGAUUAACACCCUCAGGUCUCCCAGCUACACAGAGUAAAUUUCAAAGAUGACCUCAUAUUUCUCCUUUUCCAGAGAUGUCAUUCCUGGUCAGACUGCAGCACCAUCAUUACUAGAGAAUAUAGAAGGAGAGUAGAAGGCUCUAAUAUAGACCCCAAGAUUUACUAAAACAUUGCUUUAUUUCCACCUUAGUUUUUAAGUCAUCUUGUCCUUGUUCCUGCCUAUGGCAACAAUUUAAAAGGCUCUGAACGCUGUUCCCAUGGCCUACGUUCUGAUGAGUCCAGUGGCCAACCCAAUCUGUUGUUAAACCUUUUGAAUAUCACUCCUGGGUGAAAAUAAUCCAUUCUGCAAUGAGAACGCAAUACAUUUUCGAAAUGCUCACCUAUUUUUUUCACCUCCCACAUCUCAUCUCUUUUCUCCCCAGUAUGUCUUUUUACUUUGAUGUUACCUGUGUAAAGGACAGUCCUUCCAGGAAGUUUCAUUAAUUAACUUAAACUACUUUCUACCAACCAACACAAAUUCAGAGCCCCAACUCGUCCCACUAGCACUCUCUUUUAACACUCAAAUUUUACUCUACCUAUUAUUUACGUGAUAUUUUGAUUACACACUGGUCUAUACACAGUGUACUUUUAGAAACAAAGAUGUCUUCCAAAACCUGCAUAAGAUCAGUGUAGAAGUGAUAGGGGUAAAGAGAAGGGAAAAAAGCAUAUGAUUUGAUGCAAUCAGACACCAACUUAUUUUAAAAUGAAAAUCAGUUUGUUUCAUACCUUUGAGAUGCUUGACUUCGUAUCACAUAUAAAGAUUACCACCUCACCACACAGAAAAAACUCAGUACUUCCAAGCUGCCAGUGCCCAGUACAGUGGGGUGCAUUCCCAAGAAUGGUUCAAGAAAAUGCUUCUCUAGGUUGAUUAACUUUGAAAAUUUUUAGAAAUCCUAAUCUGAUUAUUACAGUUAAAAAAAAAAGGUAUCAUAUCCAAUGCUGUAUUCUUAAAGUUGUAAAUAUCCCUGACUGAGAAACAGCUAUCCUCCUAUUUGGGAAGGGCUUGCUUUCCAACCAUUGUCUUAUUUCAGGACUAGUGUGGAAGAAUCUGAACUAGUAAUGGCAUUGAAAUACAGCAUGAUGAUCAGUGACAUAGCAGAUGUCACAGUCCACCUGCCUUCACAUCCUGCUCUUGAAUAACUGAUCAGGGACAUGGAAACACUAAGUAUGUAUUGCAUCCUUUUUCACUGAAAAUGUCAUGUAUUCAGACACAUGGAUGAAGUAUCUUUAUUAACCUCCUAAGAUUUACCAAUUGGCAAGGGUAACAAAGUUUGUUACAGAGCAGCAGUUUUCCCAAGUUAAGAACAGCAAAUAUGGAGUUCCCAUUGUGGCUUAGCAGUAAUGAACCCAAUUAGUAUUAAUGAGGAUGUGGUUCGAUCCCCGGCCCCACUCAGUGGAUUAGGGAUCCAGUGUUGCCAUGAAAUGUGCUGUAGCUUACUGACACAGCUCGGAUCCUGCAUUGCUGUGGCAUAGGCCAGCAGCCGCAGCUCCACUCCAAUUCAAACCCUAGCCUUGGAACUUCCAUAUGCUGUGGAUGUAGCUCUGAAAAAAGAAAAAAAAAAAAAGAACAGCAAAUGUUAGAGCUGGAGUUGGCUGUACUGAAACCGGUGCUUGAACCAUUUGCAAAUAACACAGAACAUUUAUUCACUUAAAUUUUUUAGAAAUUUUUUAAAUUAUAGUUGAUUUACAAUAUUGUGACAAUUUCCACUGUACAGCAAAGUGACCCAUAUAUACAUAUACAUACAUACACACACAUAUAUAUAUAUAUAUAUAUAUAUAUACAUACAUGCACAUACCCUUUUUCUUAUAUUAUCUUCUAUCAUAGUCUAUCCCAAGAGAUUGGAUAUAGUUCCCUGUGCUAUACAGUGGUACCUCAUUGCUUAUCCAUUCUACAUGCAAUCAUUUGCACUUAAAAUUUUUAAUAUUGAACAUUUCCUAAGCCUUUUCAGCCACUGAAGAAGGUACACAGGUCAUGUUAAUUAAAAUUCAUUCUCUGCCCUCAAGGAAUUUAUGGUCUUAAAGAGAUGACUAGUAAACAGAAAAUUACCCAUCAGGGUGAUGGUGCCCCGCAGUUAAGAACAGGGUACUAUGGAAGGACUUAAGAAUGUUUGGCUAACGAAGGCUCAGAAAACCUAGGAAGACUUCCCGAUGAAGUCUUGAACAAAACAAUUUUUAAUGCAUUAACCAGGGAAAAGGGCUAGGGUGGAGGGAAGAGAAUUCAUGGUAUAUUUCAUAACAAUAUUUUUAAAAUUAAAAUAAGAUGUUUUCAAUGAAAAAUAUUGUCAAUCUCACCAUUCAAGAGGGGCAUGCAGCUAUUUCUGAUGCUGAGAAAAAACAGAAUGCCAUUUUAAAAAUCACAUUCAAAUAUACCCUUGAGCUAACAUCUUCCCGGGAUUCAUGUGCAAUUAUUUAUUUGUUCCUUGGCAGAGUAUCUUAUCACUAGCCAACACACCUGUUAUGCCACAACAUUUACAUAGAAAAAUCACGUUGUUUUACUGAGAAAUCUUGCUGUCCUCUAAAAUGCCUAAGAUGUUUAAAAAUGAUAAAGACUGAUUCACAUGCAUUUAGAUUUAAAAAAGAUUUUAUUCAUGCCAUUCUUGGAUUUCCUUUAAUAUUUUUCCAUCAAUUCAUCCACUCAUCUAUAGCAUUUUAAUACAGCACUAUAAUGACUCUAGUCCUGUGAUUUCCUGCUGUAUAGUGCUAUUAUUAUGUUUGAAGAGUUCUAAACUACAGAAAAUAAAGGUAUGAAAAUAGACCCAUCAUACAGUUUUUUUUGGUUAUAGGAACUAUUAUUCUGUCUUUGCAGUAUUUAGGUGCAUUUGUGUCUCAGGUUAGACAUCAAAACAGAAUUAGGAAUCAGGAGUCAAGAAUUAAAAACAAGGACUAAAAACCCUUGCUUUACAAUUUACUAGCUCCAAGUGUUUGUCUUCAUUGUAAAGUGAGGAUACUAGUGGGUACUUUUUAAUGAAAUAACAUAUAAAAUGUUUAACCCAUCAUCUGACACCUAAUAGACAUUCCCAUAAGUAUUUUAACACUAUAGAUGAAAUUGUUUUUGAAUUCCUUAAAUGUAAAGGCCAGAUAUAAAAAUUUAAGUAAAACAUUGUUUAAUUCACUCAAAUAGCUAAGACUCAGAAGUUUUUUUCUCUGACCGAAAUGCCUUGUCAAAGGAGGCAUCCAAGUAAAUCUAGUCGAGCCAUCAAUAAAAUUCACAGUCAAUCCUUAACAUACUAGCAAACUAAAUCCAACAGUAUAUAAAAAUGAUUAUACACCCAACAAAAUUCCAUAAAAAUUCCAGAAGUCUCUUGUGCAGAAAUGGAAAAGCCAGUCCUGAAAUUCAUUUGGAAUAUUAAGGAGCCCCAGCUAGUCAAAACAGUCUUGAAAAAGAGAACAAAGCUGGAAGACUCACACUUCUUGGUUUUAAAACCAAUAGCAAAGCUAUAGUGAUCAAAACAGUGAGGUAUUUGUGUGAGGACAUAUGUACAGACCCAAUGGACUAGAAUUGACAGUCCAGAAAUGAACCCAUAUAUCUAUAGCCAAAUGGUUUUCUGUUUUUUUUUUUUAAGUUUUUGUUUUUGCUUUUUGCCUUUUUGCCUUUUCUAGGGCUGCUCCUGCGGCAUAUGGAGGUUCCCAGGUCAAAUCGGAGCUGUAGCUGCCAGCCUAUGCCAGAGCCACAGCAAUGCAGGACCCGAGCCGCAUCUGCAACGUACACCACAGCUCAAGGCAAUGCCAGGGAUUGAACCCACAACCUCAUGGCUCCUAAUCAGAUUCAUUAACCACUGUGCCACAACGGGAACUCUCAAAUGGUUUUCAACAAUGGUGCCAAGUCCAUUCAAUGUGGAAAGAACAGUACCUUCAACAAAUGGUCUGGAACAAAUGUAUUUCCACAAACAAAAUAAUGAAGUUGGGGCCUUUGAUCAUACCACAUGCAAAAAUGAAUCAGAAUACAUCAGCAACAUAAAUAUAAGCACUUCAACUACAAAUCUGUCAGAAAACUCAGCGUAAAACCUUUAUGACAUUGAAUUUGGCCACAGAUUCCUAAAUAUGACACUAAAAGCAUGAGUAAUAAAAGAAAAAUUAGAUAAAUUGAAGACUUUUGUGCAUUUUAGGACAUUAUCAUGAAAGUAGAAAGAAAACCUAUAGAAUGAGAAAAAUAUUUGUAAAUUAUUUAUCAGAUAAGGGCUUACUUUGCAGAAUAUAUAAAGAACUAAGCAAAAAGUCCAAUUUAAAAGAGAGCAAUGAACUUGAAUAGACAGCUCUACCAAGGAAAUAUACAAAUAGUCAAUAAGCCCAUGAAAAGAUGUAUAAGGUCAUUAGUCAUUAGGGAAAUGCAAAUUCAAACCAUAAUGAGCUAUCAUUUCACACCCACUAGGAUGGCUUUUAAAAAAAUAACAAACCAAAUCAAAAUAGAAAAUAGCAAGUACUAGUGAGGGUGUGGAGAAAUUGGAAGCCUAAUACUUUCGGGAGGAAUGUAAAAUGGUACAGCUGCUAUGGAAACCAACUUGGCAAGUCCCCAAAAUUUUAAAUUGCCAUAUAACUUAGUAAUUUAACCCCAAGGUAUAUACUCAAAACAACUGCAAACAAGAACUGAAACAGGUAUUUGAACAUCAAUGUUCACUGCAGCAUUAAUCACAGCAGCCAAAAGUUGUAAACAACCAAAGCCUAUCAACAGAUAAAUGAAUAAACAAAAUGUGGAGCAUAAUCAGCCAUUACAAAAAAAAUAUUUGAAGGGGUUUUUGUUGUUGUUGUUAUUUUCCCAAUACAAUUUUUUUUCUACUGUACAGCAUGGUGACCCACCCAGAUACACACACAUUAUUUUCUCACAUUAUUAUGCUC